GCCUACGGGGGGCAGCAGUGAGGAAUAUUGGUCAAUGGCCGGAAGGCUGAACCGGCCAAGCCGCGUGAAGGACGAAGGUGCCAAGCAUUGUAAACUUCUUUUGUCAAGGGACAAAAUCAGGCUCGAGAGCCUGACCGAGGGUACUUGAAGAAAAAGCAUCGGCUAACUCCGUGCCAGAAGCCGCGGUAAUACGGAGGAUGCGAGCGUGUUCCGGAUUUAUUGGGUUUAAAGGGGGCGUAGGCGGACUGU
rnacentral:rRNA from 1 species